ACGUCUAAGCAGUAAGGCUGAGUAUUAGGCAAAUCCGGUACUCGUUAAGGCUGAGCUGUGAUGGGGAGAAGACAUUGUGUCUUCGAGUCGUUGAUUUCACACUGCCGAGAAAAGCCUCUAGAUAGAAAAUAGGUGCCCGUACCGCAAACCGACACAGGUAGUCAAGAUGAGAAUUCUAAGGUGAGCGAGCGAACUCUCGUUAAGGAACUCGGCAAAAUGACCCCGUAACUUCGGGAGAAGGGGUGCUCUUUAGGGUUAACGCCCAGAAGAGCCGCAGUGAAUAGGCCCAAGCGACUGUUUAUCAAAAACACAGGUCUCUGCUAAACCGUAAGGUGAUGUAUAGGGGCUGACGCCUGCCCGGUGCUGGAAGGUUAAGAGGAGUGGUUAGCUUCUGCGAAGCUACGAAUCGAAGCCCCAGUAAACGGCGGCCGUAACUAUAACGGUCCUAAGGUAGCGAAAUUCCUUGUCGGGUAAGUUCCGACCCGCACGAAAGGCGUAACGAUUUGGGCACUGUCUCAACGAGAGACUCGGUGAAAUCAUAGUACCUGUGAAGAUGCAGGUUACCCGCGACAGGACGGAAAGACCCCGUGGAGCUUUACUGUAGCCUGAUAUUGAAAUUCGGCACAGCUUGUACAGGAUAGGUAGGAGCCUUUGAAACGUGAGCGCUAGCUUACGUGGAGGCGCUGGUGGGAUACUACCCUAGCUGUGUUGGCUUUCUAACCCGCACCACUUAUCGUGGUGGGAGACAGUGUCAGGCGGGCAGUUUGACUGGGGCGGUCGCCUCCUAAAAGGUAACGGAGGCGCUCAAAGGUUCCCUCAGAAUGGUUGGAAAUCAUUCAUAGAGUGUAAAGGCAUAAGGGAGCUUGACUGCGAGACCUACAAGUCGAGCAGGGUCGAAAGACGGACUUAGUGAUCCGGUG
rnacentral:rRNA from 1 species